UUGCGUUGCGUUGGAGAUUCUGGAGAUCUUUGGGGUUUUGGGGGUUCUUUAAGUAUUUUGGGGUCUUUGGGGGCAAUUUUGGGGUCAAAAAGAUGAGUUUUGGGGUCUGGGUGAUGUUUUAUGGGAGUUUUUUGGGGGUAUUUUGGGGUCUGGGGGCCGUCGGUUGCGUUGUGUUGGAGGUUGUGGAGAUCAUUGGUGUUUUUGGGGUUCUUUGAGUAUUUUGGGGUCUUUGGGGGCAAUUUUAGGAUCAAAAGGAUAAAUUUUGGGGUCUAGUGAGGGUCUGGGUGACAUUUUUGGGUUUUUUUGGGGGGUGAUAUUUUGGGAUUUGGGGUUUUUUGGGUGGAUAUUUUGGGGUCUGGGUGCCAUCAGUUGCGUUGUGUUGGAGGGUGUGGAGAUCUUUGGGGUUUUUGGGGUUCUUUGAGUAUUUUGGGGUCUUGGAGACGGUUUUUGGGGUCAGAAAGGCCAAUUUUGGGGUUGGAAAGGCAAUUUUUUGGGUCUGGAUGACACAUUUUAGGAUUUUGGGGGGAAUAUUUUGGAAUUUUCGGAUCUGGAGGCGCUCAGUUGAGUUAUGUUGGAGAUUCUGGAGAUCUUUGGGGAUUUGGGGGUUCUUUGAGUAUUUUGGGGUCGGAAAGGCAGAUUUUGGGGUCCUAGAGGAGCUUUUUGGGGUCAGAAGGGCCGAUUUUGGGGUCAGAAAGGCGGAUUUUGGGGUCUGUCCCCAGGGAUGGUGGAUGUCAUCUUCGCCGACGUGGCCCAGCCCGACCAAUCCCGCAUCGUUGCCCUCAAUGCCCAUAAUUUCCUCCGCAACGGCGGCCACUUCGUUAUCUCCAUUAAGGUAACGAGCUUUAACGAGCGCUCUUGUCUCCACCAAUUAACCCACCGCCCCAUUAAUUACCCCUCCCAACAAUUAUUCCCCCUCCUCCCCCCAAUAAUCCUCCCCGUUAAUUUACGCUCCACAUCAAUCCUCCCCCCGUUAAUCCCCAGCUAUUAAUUAUUAUUAAUUAUCCCUCUCCUCUCCCCCAAUUAAUUUCCCUUCCCCCCCCAAUUAACUUCCUCCUCCUCC
rnacentral:lncRNA from 1 species